rnacentral:tRNA from 1 species
UCCCAGGAGGCUCAAUGGGUAAAAGAAUCUGCCUGCAAUGCAGGAGAUGCAGGUUCAAUCCCUGGCUUGGGAA